GUGUCAGCAGCCGCGGUAAUACGGAGGGUGCAAGCAUUAAUCGGAUUUAUUGGGCGUAAAGGGCGCGUAGGCGGGAAUGUCAGUCAGAUGUGAAAUCCCGGGGCUCAACCUCGGAACAGCAUUUGAAACUACAUUUCUAGAGGAUAGGCGGAGAAAACGGAAUUCCACAAGUAGCGGUGAAAUGCGUAGAUAUGUGGAAGAACACCGGUGGCGAAGGCGGUUUUCUAGCUUAUUCCUGACGCUAAAGCGCGAAAGCAAGGGGAUCAAACAGGAUUAGAUACCCUGGUAGUCC
rnacentral:rRNA from 1 species